rnacentral:rRNA from 1 species
GGAAUGGGCAUGCCGAGUCGUUACCCUAACCGUUCGCGGAGGGGGGCGCCGAAGGUAGGGCUGAUGACUGGGGUGAAGUCGUAACAAGGUAGCCGUACCGGAAGGUGUGGCUGGAUCACCUC